UUUAUCGGAGAGUUUGAUCCUGGCUCAGGACGAACGCUGGCGGCGUGCCUAAUACAUGCAAGUCGAGCGGACAGAUGGGAGCUUGCUCCCUGAUGUUAGCGGCGGACGGGUGAGUAACACGUGGGUAACCUGCCUGUAAGACUGGGAUAACUCCGGGAAACCGGGGCUAAUACCGGAUGGUUGUCUGAACCGCAUGGUUCAGACAUAAAAGGUGGCUUCGGCUACCACUUACAGAUGGACCCGCGGCGCAUUAGCUAGUUGGUGAGGUAACGGCUCACCAAGGCGACGAUGCGUAGCCGACCUGAGAGGGUGAUCGGCCACACUGGGACUGAGACACGGCCCAGACUCCUACGGGAGGCAGCAGUAGGGAAUCUUCCGCAAUGGACGAAAGUCUGACGGAGCAACGCCGCGUGAGUGAUGAAGGUUUUCGGAUCGUAAAGCUCUGUUGUUAGGGAAGAACAAGUGCCGUUCAAAUAGGGCGGCACCUUGACGGUACCUAACCAGAAAGCCACGGCUAACUACGUGCCAGCAGCCGCGGUAAUACGUAGGUGGCA
rnacentral:rRNA from 1 species